rnacentral:piRNA from 1 species
UCCAACUCUCUCAUCAUUUUCGUUUCC